ensembl:lncRNA
CGCACCUGUGCUCCCAUCACUUGGGAGGCAGCGGCAUGGCAACAGUGAAUUCAAGGCCCAUCUUGGCUAUUCAGCAAGUUCCAGGCAAGUCUGGGCUCCUAAGCAAAACCUGUCUCAAGAGAAAACAAAACAAGAAAUGCCACAGGACGGAGACUCCAUUAUUUCAAGUAGAUGUUCAGGAUGCGGGGCUGGAGGGCAGGGGGUUGGAGCAGCAGGGCAGGCGAGCAUAGCAAGAAACUUUUAAGUCCCAUCGUUCUUAAAUUCUACAAGGAGUUAACAUAGAAAGAGGAAACAGAGUUUAGUUCCAGCCCUGGAUCCUUCGCAACAGCAUAUGGGGAGGAAUAAGACAGAAGAACGCCAAAGAUUAGAGAAGCCAUCAGAUGGCUGCCACUCAGAGUCAGGAAGUACUUGAGCAUAUGCGAGUCCAAGAGCAGGAAAAUGAUGUGUUAGGAGCACGCGUUCUUGGCAGAUGAAUCUGAUGCCCGUGCAUGCUUUGAGGUCUGGGAUUUGGGCUGAGGGGAACACAGGCCAUCCCCCAAGGAGCCUUCACCCUCCUCACGGGUCACAGUGGUCACCUCUGCACAUGGAGCUGGAGGAGCAGGCAAGAUGCCCCUCACAUCUCUCUACAGGUGGCAGAGCUAGACCGAGAAAGGCAAUCUACAUGAUUUUUGUUGAAGAAAUCAACUCAACCCAGCCAGAUGGUAAGCUACCACACAGGCCAGAGAGAGGGAAUUCCUCAGACCCUCUGCAGUGAGAGGCCUGGCACACAGGCUGGGCUUGGCUCCGCCUCCUGACAGCUAUCUUCAAGCACCUGACCUCGGCUUUCUUAGGUCAAUUUUCUCAUCAUGAAAAUUGGAGGUAAUGAUAGCAUUUAUCUCCCUACCGUUGUUAAGUAGAUUGGAUGACAAUGAAAAGCAUUUAAUAAGCGUGCUCUAUCA